CUACGGGGCGCUCCAGUGAGGAAUAUUGCGCAAUGGACGAAAGUCUGACGCAGCGACGCCGCGUGAAGGACGAAGCCUUUCGGGGUGUAAACUUCUUUUCUGAGGGAAGAAUUUCACGAUUUAUCGUGAAUUGACUGUACCUUAGGAAUAAGCUCCGGCUAACUACGUGCCAGCAGCCGCGGUAAUACGUAGGGAGCAAGCGUUGUCCGGAUUUACUGGGCGUAAAGGGCGUGUAGGCGGGACGGUAAGUUGGAGGUGAAAUCUGCAGGCUUAACUUGCAAAUUGCCUUCAAAACUGCCGUUCUCGAGUGCAGGAGAGGGCAGUGGAAUUCCUGGUGUAGCGGUGGAAUGCGCAGAUAUCAGGAGGAACACCGGUGGCGAAGGCGGCUGCCUGGCCUGACACUGACGCUAAGGCGCGAAAGCGUGGGUAGCAAACAGGAUUAGAUACCCCAGUAGUC
rnacentral:rRNA from 1 species